rnacentral:rRNA from 1 species
GUGGGGAAUAUUGGACAAUGGGGGGAACCCUGAUCCAGCCAUGCCGCGUGUGUGAAGAAGGCCUUUUGGUUGUAAAGCACUUUAAGCGAGGAGGAGGCUACCGAGAUUAAUACUCUUGGAUAGUGGACGUUACUCGCAGAAUAAGCACCGGCUAACUCUGUGCCAGCAGCCGCGGUAAUACAGAGGGUGCAAGCGUUAAUCGGAUUUACUGGGCGUAAAGCGCGCGUAGGUGGCCAAUUAAGUCAAAUGUGAAAUCCCCGAGCUUAACUUGGGAAUUGCAUUCGAUACUGGUUGGCUAGAGUAUGGGAGAGGAUGGUAGAAUUCCAGGUGUAGCGGUGAAAUGCGUAGAGAUCUGGAGGAAUACCGAUGGCGAAGGCAGCCAUCUGGCCUAAUACUGACACUGAGGUGCGAACGCAUGGGGAGCAAACAGGAUUAGAAACCCGGGUAGUCC